AUCCCGAUUUGAUCAUAACGGACGUGUAGUUUAUCACUGAAUGGUGUUUAAAUAGAGCCCCUCUAGUUGCAGGAAAUAACAAUGAAACAUUAAGCUCAAACAGUGUGGAGCUUCAAAACACUACCGUGUCAAGCAUUGUUCCUAAUGUUUGGAUGAUGUUUGACGACAUAAGGUUGGAGACAUGUUCUUCAAGGUGUUUCUUUGCGUCUUGUCUGCCCACAUUUGCUAUUGCAAGCUUUUCAGGGGGCAACUCAUCUUCCUCCUGGACUGCUUUGUUGUACUUGAUAGCCAGGUUUAGCAUUUCUUGAAUUGUCUGCUCGUUGGUUUUUGAAUGGGUGUCAAACCGGCGAAGAGUUAGACCAUCAGUCCAUUUCUUCUUGUGAAGGUUGAGUAACAUCUUCUCCUCGAGCUCAUUCUUCCUAUAGUUUAUAGCAAUCGAGUAAUAAUGCCGGUUCAACCCAUGGAUUAAUGCUUGAAUAGAUGGUUUGUUAAGAUGCCCGAGAUUGGAAGUUGUUUGGCGUGGUUCCUGCCCAAGCAUCAUAGUCUGUGGGUUAAUUAGACGAAAAGCAUCAAUCA
rnacentral:misc_RNA from 1 species